GAUCAUGGCUCAGAUUGAACGCUGGCGGAACGCUUUACACAUGCAAGUCGAACGGUAACGUGGGGAGGAGCUUGCUCCACCCCGACGACGAGUGGCGAACGGGUGAGUAAUACAUCGGAACGUGUCCGCUCGUGGGGGACAACCAGCCGAAAGGUUGGCUAAUACCGCAUGAGUUCUACGGAAGAAAGAGUCGGGGACCCGCGAAGGGCCUCUCGCGAGCGGAGCGGCCGAUGACUGAUUACGCCGGUUGGUGAA
rnacentral:rRNA from 1 species